AACGCACAUUGCGCCCCUUGGUAUUCCAUUGGGCAUGCCUGUUCGAGCGUCAUUUACACCCUCAAGCGUUGCUUGAUGUUGAGCGUUUGUUUGUGCUGAUUGUGCAGACUCGCCCUAAAGUCAUUGGCAGCCGCCUGCCGGCCUCUCGCGCAGCACAAUGCGUCUCAUGGGGCAUCGGUGGGUUGACGUCCAUUAAGAUCUUCUCCAGUUUGACCUCGAAUCAGGUAGGGAUACCCGCUGAACUUAA
rnacentral:misc_RNA from 1 species